UUAGCUUCAAUGUCUUGCCACAAGCUUUGCUGGGAUGGACCAACACCUUGAAGGUCUUGAGUUUUUGCUAUUGCAGGGAGUCCUUAACUUACAACCAUUUGUUUGGUGACCGUUCGAAGUUACCACAGCACUGAAAAGAGUGACUUAUGACCAUUUUACACACUUACGACCAUUGCAGCAUUCCCAUGGUCAUGUGAUCAAAUUGGAUGCUUGACAUACACCAUCAAGGAUCAUUCAAAAGGCAAUCAAUGGCUUCUCUUACCCAGCAUCUUUAAGAAGAUCUAAAAAAGCAUGAAACUUUUGGAA